AACAGAUAUGUAAAACGUCUUGCGCGAGAUCACGGAAAGGAUGUGAAUUACGUUGCGGAAUUAAGUAGCAUCUAGACUUGACUCCCAAGUUCGUACCAUGCUCACAAGAUCAAAGUAGCUGCUGCUGCUUGGGUAUUGGACUUAAAAGUGAGAAAUAGCUUUGCUACUUGCUCUGGAGUCAAGUUUGAUCCAGCUGAGUCAAUUGGAGCUUUGAAAGUUUUCAUGAGGGCAGAAUCAUCCGUCCGAUCCCUCAAAAGUAAAAUCAGACGGAGCCAGGAUAUGGGAAAACUGGCUUGCAUGUUGGAAGAAAACUGAACGUGAAAGUCGCCUCAGCAAAGGAGGAAA